AUUGAACGCUGGCGGCAUGCUUUACACAUGCAAGUCGAACGGCAGCGCGGGCUUCGGCCUGGCGGCGAGUGGCGAACGGGUGAGUAAUACAUCGGAACGUGCCCAGUAGUGGGGGAUAGCUCGGCGAAAGCCGGAUUAAUACCGCAUACGACCUGAGGGUGAAAGCGGGGGAUCUUCGGACCUCGCGCUAUUGGAGCGGCCGAUGGCAGAUUAGCUAGUUGGUGGGGUAAAGGCCUACCAAGGCGACGAUCUGUAGCUGGUCUGAGAGGACGACCGGCCACACUGGGACUGAGACACGGCCCAGACUCCUACGGGAGGCAGCAGUGGGGAAUGUUGGACAAUGGGCGAAAGCCUGAUCCAGCAAUGCCGCGUGUGUGAUGAAGGCCUUCGGGUUGUAAAGCACUUUUGGCGGGAACGAAAAGGACUGUGCCAAUACCACGGUUCGAUGACGGUACCCGCAGAAUAAGCACCGGCUAACUACGUG
rnacentral:rRNA from 1 species